rnacentral:rRNA from 1 species
GAUGAACGCUGGCGGCGUGCCUAAUACAUGCAAGUCGAGCGAACGGACGAGAAGCUUGCUUCUCUGAUGUUAGCGGCGGAUGGGUGAGUCACACGUGGAUAACCUACCUAUAAUACUUGGAUAACUUCGGGAAACCGGAGCUAAUACCGGUUAAUAUUCUGAACCGCAUGGUUCAACAGUGAAAGACGGUCUUGCUGUCACUUAUAGAUGGAUCCGCUCUGCAUUAGCUAGGUGGUAAGGUAACGGCUUACCAAGGCAACGAUGCGUAGUCGACGUGAGAGGGUGAUCGGCCACACUGGAACUGAGACACGGUCCAGACUCCUACGAGAGGCAGCCGUAGGGAAUCUUGCGCAAUAGGGGGUAAUCAAACGGAACAACGGCGCGUACGUGGUAGAAGUGUUCGAAUCGUAAAACUCUCUUAUUAGUGACAAACACAUAUGUAACUAGCUCUGCACAACUUGACGGUUCCUAGUCAAAAUACCACGGCUAACUACGGG